UACGGGGGGGAGCAAGCGUUGUUCGGAUUUACUGGGCGUAAAGGGCGCGUAGGCGGCCUCCGCAAGUCAGUUGUGAAAUCUCCGAGCUUAACUCGGAAAGGUCAACUGAUACUGCGGGGCUAGAGUGCGGAAGGGGCAACUGGAAUUCUUGGUGUAGCGGUGAAAUGCGUAGAUAUCAGGAGGAACACCGGUGGCGAAGGCGGGUCUCUGGGCAGUAACUGACGCUGAGGAGCGAAAGCGUGGGGAGCGAACAGG
rnacentral:rRNA from 1 species